UGUUUUCUGAAGAAAUAAACCCAUGGAGUUGGAGAGAGAAUCUGAAGCCAGAUCUUCUUUCCCAGAGGCGUGGAACAGUUUUGACAAUCCUAGCCCAACAAGCCCAGCUACAUAGUGACAGUAUUCGUCAUAAUCAUCAGUUGUUUCCACCUCCUUGCAUAUAAAUUUUGCCAUUCCUGCACCCAUCCUCAUGGUAAUGUCCUCAAUUGCCUGCUGAUAAAGUUUUCCAAGUUCCAGAAAAGCAGUCGAAACAUGAUGGAACUGGUCCAUGAGAACCUUGUACUCCUUCGUACCACAUGCAAAGUGCCAUUCGCGAUCAUAAACAUGCUGAUGAAAAGAGAUCAAAAUUGGUACUUUAACAUCGGUGGGUAUGCUGGUAUCAUCCUCAACAGUGUCAAGUGCUCGAAGGACCAAAUAGAAUAUGCAUACAGCAUCACGAAGCUCGACAGGAAGCUGUUGAAUGACGAGAGCAAA
rnacentral:misc_RNA from 1 species